GACGGAGGAUGCAAGUGUUAUCCGGAAUUACUGGGCGUAAAGCGCCUGUAGGCGGCUUAAUAAGUCAACUGUUAAAUCUUGAGGCUCAACCUCAAAAUCGCAGUCGAAACUAUUAGGCUAGAGUAUAGUAGGGGUAAAGGGAAUUUCCAGUGGAGCGGUGAAAUGCGUAGAGAUUGGAAAGAACACCGAUGGCGAAGGCGCUUUACUGGGCUAUUACUAACACUCAGAGACGAAAGCUAGGGUAGCAAAUGGG
rnacentral:rRNA from 1 species